rnacentral:rRNA from 1 species
GAUGAAUGCUGGCGGCGUGCCUAACACAUGCAAGUCGAGCGGCAGCGAGGGGUGCUUGCACCCUGUCGGCGAGCGGCGGACGGCUGAGUAACGCGUAGGAAUUUGCCCCAAAGUGAGGAAUAACUGCCCGAAAGGGUAGCUAAUGCCGCAUAUGGUCUUCGGAUUAAAGGAUUUAUCCGCUUUGGGAGAAGCCUGCGUUGGAUUAGGUUGUUGGUAGGGUAAUGGCCUACCAAGCCGACGAUCCAUAGCUGGUCUGAGAGGAUGAUCAGCCAGACUGGAACUGAGACACGGUCCAGACUCCUACGGGAGGCAGCAGUGAGGAAUCUUCCACAAUGGGCGAAAGCCUGAUGGAGCAACGCCGCGUGAAGGAUGAAGGCCUUCGGGUUGUAAACUUCUUUUAUGAGUGAAGAAUAUGACGGUAACUCAUGAAUAAGCACCGGCUAACUACGUG